rnacentral:rRNA from 1 species
UACGAAGGGGACUAGCGUUGUUCGGAAUUACUGGGCGUAAAGCGCACGUAGGCGGAUUUGUUAGUCAGGGGUGAAAUCCCGGAGCUCAACUUCGGAACUGCCCUUGAUACAGCACGUCUUGAGUCCGGAAGAGGUGGGUGGAAUUCCUAGUGUAGAGGUGAAAUUCGUAGAUAUUAGGAAGAACACCGGUGGCGAAGGCGGCCCACUGGUCCGGUACUGACGCUGAGGUGCGAAAGCGUGGGGAGCAAACAGG